AGGCGUCGAUUAAUCGGCGCCUAGCGAUUUUUUCAACAUUGCCCAUGGCACUCAUCGUCCAUCGCUGAUCGUCGCAUCGUUGUUGAAGCCAUCCCAUUGACAGACAAUGGUCAUUGCAGAUGCGCAGUAGCACGCCAUAGUCUAGUCAUCGACUCCCGCUUGCAGUUGCCGCUAGACAUUGGCUGUUCGAUGCUCAGAGCUCGCUGUUCGCCGGGUGUGGUGUGUUCGUCGGGUGUGGUGUGGAGACCGAAGAGGCAGACUUAGAGUUUGCCAAGUUCGUUUUUCAUUUUUACUUUGCGAUUUGGGGCCUAGGGCUUUACUACUUUAGUUACUUAUUGUUUAAGUAAAAGAAUUUAUUAAUUAUAAUAAUAAUUAAUUGAUCUUUAAAUGAAAGCAAAAUAUGUGUGCGUGUGUGUGUAUGUGUGUGUAUAUAUAGGCAGUGUAGGUGAUAAAGACACUAAUAAGUGGAUAGUGUACCCACGAAAGAAGAAGGAAAGUCAGAACAAGGAUGGUAACAAUUAAUCAAUCAACCCCAAAUCAUGCAGCAAUCUUGGUGCCAUCAAAUUUU